rnacentral:lncRNA from 1 species
UAAAGUGCAACCACUAUUAGUGGAAGGAGGGCUGGAAUAAGUAAUAAUGUUCUUCAUGAUGAUAACGGGCUUUUCCCAGUCCCACUUUUAUGUUCCAAAUCCAUUUUCUCACCCAUAUAGCUCUUGUACAUUUCUCACCGUAAACAUUACCAUCUUCAUUUCCCACCACAAAAGUUCCCCACCAUGUUUACUUCCACCCAGAUAUGUUCCUCGCCAUGUAAUGCACCCCCUCAAAUACAUACCCACAUGGUACCAUCUAUCACAGCCUCUCUCAGCUCACGCAUGCCUCACCUGUUUGUGUUGGAACAUCUUGAUGUGUUUCUUGGGCAAGGAUGACAUAUUUCCUUGUUAACAGGAUCAUGUUCAUCCCCAUAUGUUAGUGAAUUAAAUCUCUUAAUAUAUUUUCUGGUGUUUUACUCUUUAGUGAAAAGCUCUUCGUUUUAUUGGUCAGUGUUUUCCCUAUUGGGAUAUUUAUUUUCUUGCUUAAAUUAUGAAAAAAAAUUGUAUUCUUGGGGCUUUGUCAUUGGGUUUGGAAUAUUCUACAUUUAUUCUAGGUAUACGUUCAUUAUUUUACCAAGCCCUGGCUGUCCUGGAACUCUCUCUGUAGGCUAGACUGCCCUUGAACUCACAGAGAUCUGCCUGUCUCUGCCCUUUGGAGUCCUAAGAUUAAAAGUGCAUUCUUUCACUGCCCAGCAAAAAAAUUAAUUGUUAUGUGAAAUAUAUCCACUUUCUACUUUUUAUAAAUUCAUUAUUUUUUAA